rnacentral:rRNA from 1 species
GAUGAACGCUGGCGGCGUGCCUAACACAUGCAAGUCGAACGGAGAAUAUACGCUUCWGAAGCUUCGGCAGAWRAUUGUAUAUUCUUAGUGGCGGACGGGUGAGUAACGCGUGGGCAACCUGCCUCAUACUGGGGGAUAACAGCUGGAAACGACUGUUAAUACCGCAUAAGCGCACAGUGUCGCAUGACACAGUGUGAAAAACUCCGGUGGUAUGAGAUGGGCCCGCGUCAGAUUAGCCAGUUGGCGGGGUAACGGCCCACCAAAGCGACGAUCUGUAGCCGGCCUGAGAGGGCGGACGGCCACAUUGGGACUGAGACACGGCCCAAACUCCUACGGGAGGCAGCAGUGGGGGAUAUUGCACAAUGGAGGAAACUCUGAUGCAGCGACGCCGCGUGAGUGAAGAAGUAUUUCGGUAUGUAAAGCUCUAUCAGCAGGGAAGAAAGGCUCGUAAGAGAGAUGACGUAC